rfam:Chlorocebus sabaeus isolate 1994-021 chromosome 6, whole genome shotgun sequence.
GCCGGGCGCGGUGGCUCAAGCCUGUAAUCCCAGCACUUUGGGAGGCCGAGACGGGCGGAUCACGAGGUCAGGAGAUCGAGACCAUCCUGGCUAACACAGUGAAACUCCUGGCUAACACGGUGAAACCCCGUUUCUACUAAAAAAUACAANNNNNNNNNNUUGUAUUUUUUAGUAGAAACGGGGUUUCACCGUGUUAGCCAGGAGUUUCACUGUGUUAGCCAGGAUGGUCUCGAUCUCCUGACCUCGUGAUCCACCCGUCUCGGC